rnacentral:rRNA from 1 species
GGGUGCGAUCAUACCAGUACUAAUGCACCGGAUCCUAUCAGAACUCCACAGUUAAGCGUGCUUGGGCGAGAGUAGUACUAGGAUGGGUGACCUUCUGGGAAGUCCUCGUGGUGCACCCC